rnacentral:rRNA from 1 species
UUGAACGCUGGCGGCAGGCCUAACACAUGCAAGUCGAACGGUAACAGGAAGCAGCUUGCUGCUUCGCUGACGAGUGGCGGACGGGUGAGUAAUGUCUGGGAAACUGCCUGAUGGAGGGGGAUAACUACUGGAAACGGUGGCUAAUACCGCAUAACGUCGCAAGACCAAAGAGGGGGACCUUCGGGCCUCUUGCCAUCAGAUGUGCCCAGAUGGGAUUAGCUWGUUGGUGAGGUAACGGCUCACCAAGGCGACGAUCCCUAGCUGGUCUGAGAGGAUGACCAGCCACACUGGAACUGAGACACGGUCCAGACUCCUACGGGAGGCAGCAGUGGGGAAUAUUGCACAAUGGGCGCAAGCCUGAUGCAGCCAUGCCGCGUGUAUGAAGAAGGCCUUMGGGUUGUAAAGUACUUUCAGCGGGGAGGAAGGUGUUGYGGUUAAUAACCGCAGCAAUUGACGUUACCCGCAGAAGAAGCACCGGCUAACUCC